UCUCUGCUCCUCCCCCUGGAUCCCGAGUCUCCGCGCUGAACCAUGCCUGAGCCGGGCAAGUCCACAAUGGAAGGAAUCGUGCGUGAGUUGCAACGACCGAAGGACUGUGAAAGCAACGCUUGUGUCCUGUGAUGUCCUACGAGGCAGUAGAAUCCCUGGUUUACAAAACAGGAAAUGGGCUUGAAUGGAAAGAAACCAACAUCACUAGGAGAUUCCAAAUGUGCAGAGGCACAAAUGGCUCCUGGAUUGCAAAGGUGCAUAAAUGCUAAGGUCGGGGAGGGCAGCAAAAGGCCAUGUGUAAGGUGGCACAUGCCAGCUGGCUGAGCGAUGCUAACUACGGUCCCCUGAGUCUUGCAGCAGCAACAGUGGGCAUCUAUCAGCUCGUGGGUCUGGAGCUCAGAUUGCAUGGCCCAAGGACCCCCCCCCCACCACCACCACCGCAGGGAACGUCUCCUCCCACAGGAAGACGAUUAUAUCUGCGUGGAACCGAAGGCUUCCCUUUUAAAUUCACAAAGCCGGGUGAAUCUCCUAAAAGUCCUUUACCGGCUUGGUAGGAGACACGGGUGUUGGAGACCAAAGCCCGCCAAGGGCUGGCUCCCUUUCCCAUCUGCUGGGACAACCCCACUGCAACAAAUGGGGCCCGCAGCAUGCGAGGGCGGCUCGGGACUGACCCAUUCAGGCUGUGCCCUUGACUGGAGAGCCACCGGAGAGGACACUUGAGCGCCACAUCCCUUUACACUUAGUUCUACCCCACCGGAAACAGGAUUAAAGGCAGCUCCCCGCCGCUUUGUAA